UUUCCGUAGGUGAACCUGCGGAAGGAUCAUUAUUGUAUAACCGAGGUGCGAGGGCUGUCGCUGACCCGAAAGGUCGUGCACGCCCGAGUGCCCUCACACGCAUCCAUCUCACCCCUAUAUGCACCACCGCGUGGGUCCCCCUUUGGCUUGUUCGGAGGGGGGCUUACGUUUUCACACAAACUUUGUAUGCAGUGUAGAAUGUAUUUUUUGUUUUUGCGAUCACGCAAUCAAUACAACUUUCAACAACGGAUCUCUUGGCUCUC
rnacentral:misc_RNA from 1 species